GCCCACCUAAAGGUGGUCAAAUGAUAUUCACAGAAGAUUAACUCUGCACUAAGCAUUCUUUGAGUGAUGAUAUAACUGGGGUAUUGAAAUGAUCCCUUUUCCUUUGCUUGAAGUUACCAAUUGUAAAUUAUGGAAAUAGCGAUUCAUGAUCUCAGUAGCUACUUUAUUUGUUAAUGAUGCUGGUAACUUCGUGUAUGGAAUGGUACAAACGUUUUGAAUGGACAUUGUAUAACGGCAUAUGUACGUAUGAACAUUAACAUUGGAGUGAUUGGACUAAAAACGUACUGUAUUCUACGAAAAUGGAAAACAAGCGAGAGGAAAAACACAAUCCAUGUCUUGAGUUAUAUGACCAGGUAAUUUCCUAACCCUGGAAUCCGUUACUAUACUACCAAGUAUUUGCAGCUGCUGGAAUCCGAUACUACAAUCGUUGAAGAUCGAAGAUCGCUAUUGGAGCCAGUGUCCUUCUGCCAGAAAUAAAGUGGAAGAUCACAUUCACUGACUUAAAUGGUUCAGCCCGUCGGCCUGUUGUGCAUACUUUUGGUCCUUAACUUGAAGUUCCAAGCACCUAUCAGUGCUAAAUGAAGUAGCGGAAGAUUCUUUAUCCAUUCUUCGCGAGAAAAGUUCAUGGACGUUCGAUAUUGUCUAGUGAGGACGUUAAAGUCAUAUCUACACAUCUAAGUUCCCGUUUGCACUAUACCGGAUUGCUAUCGUAGCAGGUUGAAUAUUCUUUAUAUUAAAAGGCAGGGAAAUUGUUCAAUGUCAGAAACACAAUCAAAUGGACUAAAUCUAUCAGCUUAAUAGGCUUUUACUCCGAGCAG